CAGUUUUAAAUUCUGAAAUCCAUCACAAUAUUACACUAGUAUCAGGCACAGUAAGUGCUGUCUAAACCUAUGAACUAAGAAAAUAUUCAAACGCUUUGGUCUCUUUAGUCUAUUCUCCUCCCCCACUUCUUGAUAUGAGACAUAAUAUACAUAUAUAUUAAU